AUACGAAAGGUGCAGGCGUUGUUCGGAUUUACUGGGCGUAAAGAGAGUGUAGGUGGUUUAUUAAGUCGGAUGUGAAAUCCCGGGGCUCAACCUCGGAACUGCAUUCGAUACUGAUAGGCUAGAGUUUGGGAGGGGUAAGCGGAAUUCCGUGUGUAGCAGUGAAAUGCGUAGAUAUACGGAGGAACACCUGAGGCGAAGGCGGCUUACUGGACCAAUACUGACACUGAGACUCGAAAGCGUGGGUAGCAAACAGGAUUAGAUACCCUAGUAGUCC
rnacentral:rRNA from 1 species